CGAAAUGUAACACACACAGAAACGAACUAUAAUGUAACAAUGGCCAUUUUCCUUACUUGUUACAAGGCAUUUUAUGAAAAAAUGGUGGGUUGAACCUGGUUUUGUGGCAUGCCAAACCUCCCGCUUUAAUGGCAAUGUUAAUUAUAACAUUAAAAUGACAGGGUUACAAUAAAUAAACAGAUAAAUAGGAGAAAAUAUAGGACAGAGAAACAAACGAAUAAUAGCAAUCAAAAGGUAACAGGUUAAAAAAUUUUUUAUACGCCAGACACGCGCAGAUGUAAAAAGUUUGAAAGCCAUUACAACUAUAAAGUUGAAGAUCGCCGAGGACCAAAAGUUCCAAAAAAGUUGUGAUGACGAGUUGUCCGAUGAAUUAAUAACUUUUAGUCCUAUUAAUAUGCCUGAAAUAGAAAAAAAUGCAUAUUAUCUCAUCAGGUCCAAGAAUUUUAAAGAUUUUACUUGGUGUUUUUUUUAUGUACCUAUCAUUCGGACUUUCGUUAGUUUACUAAAUGAUUAAUGCCACAGUAUUUACACUGUUACUAGUGUUUGUUAGGACUUUCUUUGAACUCAACAGCGAUAGUAAAAAGUUGCAUGUUUACCUUUAGAGACGGAAAAACAGUCUACAAAAGUUUUAUU
rnacentral:lncRNA from 1 species